AAAAGUGGAGGGGGAAAGAGAGAGAAAAGAGACAGAACCCUGGGCUGGGAGAGAGAUGGAGAGAGAGGAGAAAAGGAAGGAAAAGAAAAUGAAGGAUAAAGGGAAGAGAUCGGUGGACGAGAGGUAUGCACAAUGGAAGACACUGGUUCCUGUCCUCUACGAUUGGCUCGCUAAUCACAACCUCGUUUGGCCUUCUCUUUCUUGCCGAUGGGGUCCGCAGCUGGAGCAGGCAACAUACAAGAAUCGUCAGCGUUUAUA
rnacentral:misc_RNA from 1 species